rnacentral:rRNA from 1 species
ACUCAAAUGAAUAGACGGGGGCCCGCACAAGCAGCGGAGCAUGUUGUUUAAUUCGACGCGACGCGAAGAACCUUACCGGGUCUUGACAUCGCUUGACGCCUCUGGAAACAGAGAGUUCCUUCGGGACAAGCAGACAGGUGGUGCAUGGUUGUCGUCAGCUCGUGUCGUGAGAUGUUGGGUUAAGUCCCGCAACGAGCGCAACCCUUAUUUUCAGUUACUAACGGGUAGUGCCGAGGACUCUGGAGAGACUGCCGUGGACAACACGGAGGAAGGUGGGGACGACGUCAAAUCAUCAUGCCCCUUAUGAUCCGGGCUACAAACGUGCUACAAUGGCCGCAACAAAGAGAAGCGAUGCAGUAAUGUUCAGCGGAUCUCAAAAAAGCGGUCUCAGUUCGGAUUGUGGGCUGCAACCCGCCCACAUGAAGUCGGAGUUGCUAGUAAUCGCGGAUCAGCAUGCCGCGGUGAAUACGUUCCCGGGCCUUGUACACACCGCCCGU